ACUGAAGGGCAUCCUGGGCUACACUGAGGAUCAGGUUGUCUCCUGAGACUUCAACAGCCACUCCCACUCUUCCACCUUUGAUGCCAUUGCUCUCAAUGACAACUUUGUAAAGCUCGUUUCCAGGACUCUUAUCCUAUUGGGUUGCCUUGUCCAGCCAUGAUGCGAGCCUAUGUACCUGCUUGAUGACCCUGGGAGGCCUAUUCAUUUCUGAUGGAAGAGCAAACCUUUUGAUCUACAUUGGCAGAACUUUCAUUCCUAUGUUCUACUGACUGUGGUAUGGAAUUACUCUGCAGAUUACCAAAAGAGAGACAAAAGGACCAACCUUGCCACAAAUCCAUUGACUAACAGAGCUGUGCUACUUGCAAGAUAUGCUAGGACAAUGGUAGCCCAAUGUUUGAGGGAGUAAAGAGGAAAUACAUGAAUUGACUUAAGAUCCACUCCAUGAGAUAGAAACACAUCUAACACUGCUCAGGUGACCAAGAACAAGAAGAUAGAUCAGAGAGUUAGGAUAAAGCCACAUACUAUGUUAUUAACAACAAAAACAAAGCAAUAAAAUGACAUUUUGCU
rnacentral:lncRNA from 1 species